AUUCCCGUUGAUCCUGCGGGAGAUUGCUGCUAUUGGGAUUCCUUUAGGCAUGCAAGUUAUCUCUUUUAUUAGAGAAGCGUAAGGCUCAGUAACACGUCGAUAAUCUGCCCUUAGCUUUGGAAUAACCUUGGGAAACUGAGGCUAAUACCGAAUAGAGAAUUGUUGUUGGAAUGCACUUUUCUUUAAAGCUUUUGCGACUAAGGAUGAGUCGGCGGCUGAUUAGGCUGUUGGUGGUGUAAUGGACUACCAAACCUAAGAUCAGUAGGAGGAAUGAGAGUUCAGGCUCCGAGAAGGGUACUGAGAUACUGACCCUAGCCCUAAGGGGUGCAGCAGCUAGGAAUUCUUUACAAUGCACGAAAGUGUGAUAAGGGGAACCCAAGUGCUUGCUUAUAGCAGGCUUUUGCCAAGUUUAAAAAGUUUGGAGAAUAAGCUGUGGGUAAGACCGGUGCCAGCAGCCGCGGUAACCCCGGCGCAGCGAGUGGUGAUCACAUUUAUUGGGUCUAAAGCGUCCGUAGCCGGUUUGGUAAGUCUUUUGUGAAAUUGUGGAGCUUAACUCUACAGCGCGCGAGAGAAACUACCUUACUUGAGAUUGGGAGGAGACAGGGGUAUUCCUUGGGGAGCGGUAAAAUGUUAUAAUCCUUGGAGGACCACCGAUGGCGAAGGCAUCUGUCUAGAACAUUUCUGACGGUGAGGGACGAAAGCUAGGGGAGCAAAACGGAUUAGAUACCCGAGUAGUCCUGGCUGUAAACGCUGUGAGCUGUGUGUCGCAUUUUUUUUGUGAAAAUGCGGUGCCGUAGUGAAGACGUUAAGCUCACCACCUGGGGAGUAUGGUCGCAAGGCUGAAACUUAAAGGAAUUGGCGGGGGAGCACUACAACGAGUGAAGUGUGUGGUUCAAUUCGAAUCUACGCGAGACAUCUCACCAGGAGCGACGGCAGGAUGAAGGUCAGAUUAAAGGUCUUACCUAACGAGCCGAGAGGAGUUGCAUGGCGGUCGUCAGCUCGUGCCGUAAGGUGUUACGUUAAGUCGUACAACGAGCAAGACCUACACAUAUAGUUGCUACCACUUAAAUUUUAGGAGUGAGCACACUAUAUGGACUGCCCGGGUAACUGGGAGGAAGGCGUAGGCAACGAUACGUCAGUAUGGCCCGAAUCUCCUGGGCCACACGCGCAUUGCAAUGGCAGAGACAAUGGGAUACAACUCCGAAAGGAGAAGUUAACCCUCUAAACUUUGUCUUAGUUCUAAUCGAGGGCUGUAACUCGCCUUCGUGAAGCUGGAAUUCGUAGUAAUCGGGUUUCAUUAGGGCCCGGUGAAUAAGUCCCUGCUCCUUGCACACACCGCCCGUCAAGCCAUUCGAGCAGGGUCUAGGUGAGAAGUAUCUUAUUGGAUAAUUCGAAUCUAGGCUCAGUAAGAAGGGCUAAGUCGUCACAAGGUAUCCGUAGGGGAACCUGCGGAUGGAUCACCUCCU
rnacentral:rRNA from 1 species